GAUGAGCCCGCGCCCCAUCAGCUAGUUGGUGAGGUAAUGGCUCACCAAGGCUUAGACGGGUAGCUGGUCUGAGGGGAUGAUCAGCCACACUGGGACUGCGACACGGCCCAGACUCCUACGGGAGGCAGCAGUGGGGAAUAUUGGGCAAUGGGCGAAAGCCUGACCCAGCCACGCCGCGUGAGUGAUGAAGGCCUUCGGGUCGUAAAGCUCUGUGGGGAGGGACGAACAAGUCCGGUGCUAACAUCACCGGGCCCUGACGGUACCUCCUUAGCAAGCACCGGCUAACCCUGUGCCAGCAGCCGCGGUAAUACAGGGGGUGCAAACGUUGCUCGGAAUCAUUGGGCGUAAAGCGCACGUAGGCGGUUCGUUAUGUCGGAUGUGAAAGCCCUUGGCUUAACUGAGGAAGUGCAUCCGAAACUGGCGAGCUAGAGUACGAAAGAGGGUCGCGGAAUUCCCGGUGUAGAGGUGAAAUUCGUAGAUAUCGGGAGG
rnacentral:rRNA from 2 species